rnacentral:rRNA from 1 species
CAUUGCAUGCUUAGUAGCGGCGAGUGAGCGGCAUAGCUCAAAUUUGAAAUCUGGCACUUUCAGUGUCCGAGUUGUAAUUUGAAGAAGGUAUCUUUGGGUCUAGCUCUUGUCUAUGUUUCUUGGAACAGAACGUCACAGAGGGUGAGAAUCCCGUGCGAUGAGAUGUCUAGAUCUAUGUAAAGUUCCUUCGAAGAGUCGAGUUGUUUGGGAAUGCAGCUCUAAGUGGGUGGUAAAUUCCAUCUAAAGCUAAAUAUUGGCGAGAGACCGAUAGCGAACAAGUACAGUGAUGGAAAGAUGAAAAGAACUUUGAAAAGAGAGUGAAAAAGUACGUGAAAUUGUUGAAAGGGAAGGGCUUGAGAUCAGACUUGGUAUUUUGUAUGUUACUCUCUCGGGGGUGGCCUCUACAGUUUACCGGGCCAGCAUCAGUUUGAGCGGUAGGAGAAUUGCGUAGGAAUGUGGCUCGGCCUCGGUCGAGUGUUAUAGCCUUCGUCGAUACUGCCAGCUUAGACUGAGGACUGCGGCUUCGGCCUAGGAUGUUGGCAUAAUGAUCUUAAGUCGCCCGUCUU